CUGCAUUAAAGUCCCUCAAAUCUCCAUGCGAAAAAAUAAAAAUAAAAAACCAGCUAAAAUUCCGCCAUUUUCGACCCUUCCCAAUUUCCUUCUCAAGAAAUUCCGACCAAAUCAUCCUCCUCGAGAAAGCUGCAGAGAUCGGCGAAGGGAUGUCUCGAUCUCGAAGCUCCAUAUCUCUGCAAUUCCUCUCUUUCCUUCUCUCCCUCUCUCCCCAUUCUCUUUCAGUGUUGGCAGGUGAUCAUUCAAGUGCUAAAGAUGGUAAAACUAAAAAGCACGAUGCUCAGAAGAGUCCAUCAACAGGGAUCAAGAUGCUAAUCAUAUGUCUAGGUGUGGUGACUUUCAUUGCGUUUUCUGUGAUUCUAUUCAAAUUAUGGCAAAAGAAGAAGAGAGAAGAACAACAUGCCCGUCUUCUCAAGCUGUUUGAAGACGAUGAUGAACUCGAAGUCGAACUUGGCCUUCGGGAUUGAGCUCUCUGAUCCUCAUCCUCCAUAUCCAACCAAUUAAGAGGAGGUGCACAUUGCGGAUUCCAUUGCCUUUUGUUUAAUGAUAUGUACAAGCUUUUUGAUCUUAUCCUGAUUUUGUUUUUGGUUCGUAAAAUCAUAGCAAAUUCUUUGUUGUCAAUUAGUUUUGAAUAAUGUUAUUGCUCCUUCAAUCAUUCAUCUAUACAUGUGUAUGAUCUCUGAGGCAUGUUUCAAAUAUAAAUCAUUGUUUAGACAAUUGUUCAUAUUAGAAAAUACAUGGAGAUUGAAUACUGAGCAUGACAUUUGAUUCUGAAAGAAACCUUUGUUAUUGUACCAUUUGAGAAUCAUUGAUAAUAACCAAUAGUUAAACCGUGACCAUGAAUCGAAACUUUAGAGACGUAGAUGCUAGAUGACAAUGGUUACCUUUUUAUGUAGAGCUAAGAACUUCAGAAUCUCUUAUAAAUAAGCUAAUCAGGGCUGCCAAGUUAGACUUUCAUGUUUUGUCAAACUUAUACCAACUUGGUUGAAUUGGAACAUGAAAGUGACAGGAUGAAUGUAACUGUCUAACCCCACUGCUAGUAAAUAUGGUCGUUUAUGCGUUUUCCCUGAA